rnacentral:lncRNA from 1 species
UUACUUCCAUAUUAAGCCCACUAAGGAACCUCGCUAUACUUGUCCUUUCCUCCUCCCUAAGUCCAGCUCUUAAAAAGAGUAGUUCCAUUUGUUGUCUGUAUUCUUCAACACUCAUACUCCCUUGUUUAAGCCUUUGGAGCUUGUCCAUAAGCUCCCUUUCAUAGUAGGGAGGAAUGUGCCUCUUCCUAAGGGCACUCUUAA